AGAAACCCUAACCUAGGACUGAGCGCAGACCCUUCUCUCCCGCCAGUUUCUGGGCGCGGCCUCCCCACUUUUCAUCUUGCUGCAGUCACCUCUUCGGUAGGCGCUGCCAUUUCCCCUUCCCUGAUGAAAGGCAAAGCUCCUUCUGGAAGUCACCGGUGAGUCUCCCUUGAUAACCCAACAGGGUUUUCAACUUUGUCGAAAUUCAUUAGCAAUUCCUGGAAACACAAAGCAAAUUUUACUAUGCACGACUCUAACUGGCUAAUUUUUGCUUUCUCCUCUAAACUGGAAAUGCUUGAUAUACUUGGUGGCGGUCCCUACUUUGUCUUUGGCCGACCACUCAUACUGAAGGUCAUGCUAGAAUUCUUUGAUUUCACAACCACUAAUAUGAUGCAGAUGCAGAUGCUGAUUUGGAUGUGGAGCCUGUCAAAAGGCAAUAUCUAACUCGUAGCAAAGUCCUUAUGGCCAUCAGUUUGGGCCAAUAGGGGAGACAUGCAACCAAGAACCCCUCUACGGCUGAUCCAAAGCAUAAGACCAUCUCUGAUGAUUCUGCUACCUUAUCCUCUCUUUGAAUUUUUCUCUUUUGGUUUCAUUUUUUGUGGAUCAUUAUUUGCAAGGGAGUAUGUUCCCUCUGUUAAUUUAUUUGUACCCUGUCAUGAAUUUGUUAUGUUGUUCUUCAUCUUAUGUUGAUCAAGUCCCUGUCGGGUCUUGGUUCUGUGUUUCUCUUGUGCUGCUUGUUUGGCUUGUGGGCCUGUUAUUUUAUUGGUUCUUCUUGCUUGCUUUCUCUUAGGCUUUAGGCUGAGGUAAGCCUAUGGUUGUUCCACUGGUUUUUCCUUUUGUGCAGUGUUGUUGGGUGCUGUCUUUUUCCUCCUGCUGAGGUUCUGGUGGUGGUUGGUUGUGGUGUUCCUUCUGCUGGAUUGGCUGAAGGCCCUUGUUGUAGCUGGCGUGCUUGUUGUUGGUGUAGUGUUCCUGCUUGUUUUCUCUUGGCUUUUGUAGUCGAGUUUUGCUUGAUGUAGUGUUCCUGGUUGGGUGCUAUGUUGCUGGUUAUGCUGAUGCAUUACCUGCAUGCCUCCUCCGUUGCUGCUAUAGGUGUUGCUGGCUGAUUAUGUUGCUGGCUGAUUAUGCUGCUUUUUGCUAUUAAGUUUAACAGUGUCCUUGCCUGCUCCUCGCUUUGUAGUUGAGGUUAGCUUGUUGUAGUGUUGCUGGUUGCAUUGAUGCAUUGCCUUCUUGCCUCUCAGUUGCUGUUUUAGGUUUUUAGGUUAUGUUUUCUAGCUUCAGUUGUAGUUUAGCUGGGCAGUUGCUGCUUGUUCUAGUUCUUUUGUUUAGGGCUGUUUUCAGCCUCUGUGGGAGUUUGUUCCUCUAUCGUGUAUAAGGGAGCAUGUUCCUUUUUUCUGCUCAUAUUUGUAUAUAUUUUGACUUGCUGGUUCUUUAGCUCUGUUUCAUUUGAUCUAUAAAUUUCUUACAUUUGAUUAAAAAAAUAAUUAGGAUAAUGCACUAAGGAUGGAGACUCACUCCAAUCAUCUACAGAUGAUUUACCUUGUGGGAAGCCAGUAGAAUCUCUACCAUGGUCUCCAGAAGGGGCAUUAACAUCUACCACGGGAAGCGAAAUGCAUGAAGAGUCAACACCAGACGAAAAGGGAACCCAAGAGGGACGGGGAGCUGAGGUACUCGAUUUAGGGCUAGAAGAGUGUCCACACCCAGAGCCGGAGGGAAAGGAAGAACCAACGUCAGCAUCCGAACAAGAUUUAG